rnacentral:rRNA from 1 species
AGAGUUUGAUCCUGGCUCAGAAUCAACGCUGGCGGCGUGCCUAACACAUGCAAGUCGAACGAGAAAGUGGAGCAAUCCCUGAGUAAAGUGGCGUACGGGUGAGUAACACGUGGAUCAUCUACCUCUGAGUGGGGAAUAACGCUGGGAAACCGGCGCUAAUACCGCAUAAGCUCGCAAGAGGAAAGCAGCAAUGCGCUGAG